UACAGAGGGUGCAAGCGUUAAUCGGAAUUACUGGGCGUAAAGCGUGCGUAGUCGGUUAUCUAAGUCGGAUGUGAAAUCCCCGGGCUCAACCUGGGAAUUGCAUUCGAUACUGGAUAGCUAGAGUUCGGCAGAGGGAAGUGGAAUUUCGGGUGUAGCGGUGAAAUGCGUAGAUAUCCGGAAGAACACCGGUGGCGAAGGCGGUCUGCUGGGCAGUUGCUGACACUGAUGCGCGACAGCGUGGGGAGCAAACAGG
rnacentral:rRNA from 1 species